rnacentral:rRNA from 1 species
CAGUAGCCACGGGAAUACGGAGGGGGCUAGCGUUGUUCGGAAUUACUGGGCGUAAAGCGCGCGUAGGCGGUUACUCAAGUCAGAGGUGAAAGCCCGGGGCUCAACCCCGGAACUGCCUUUGAAACUAGGUGACUAGAAUCUUGGAGAGGUCAGUGGAAUUCCGAGUGUAGAGGUGAAAUUCGUAGAUAUUCGCAGGAACACCAGUGGCGAAGGCGGCUAACUGGUCCAUAACUGACGCUGAGGUGCGAAAGCGUGGGGAGCAAACAGGAUUAGAUACCCCGGUAGUCCCUGUCUCUUAUAC